UUUAAAUAUCUGAAACACAUUUAUUGCAUUUCGCAGAAAAUCAGGUUCUGUACAUUUCAAAACAGCUUAGAAAAAUUACUAUUUACAAGAUUUACAUAUAUCACAGGAGUGCAAGCCUUAAAGAAAAAACAAAGAACUCGAUAUUUUUCCUCCCUAAAUAAAAAAAAAUUAAAAUCUAUUUUCUUCAUUUUAAACAUGUAUUUCUAUGGGAUGAAUCAGUGCCUAGUCUUGCUAAAAAUAUGUCAGGGUGUUCACUAAGAAUACAUUUAGGGGAACUAUAGUGCCCGCAAUGGCGCCAGUUGGGAUUGCAGUCUGUCUCCUGCACGCAUUAUAGCCGUAUCCCUGAGCAGCUCAGAAUUGGAAUAGUCAGAGGUUUUUGAUAUGCCAAGAAUUAAACCAAUUAUUCAGUGCAAUUAAUUAGGGCUCCUGUUUACUGGAGAAUGGCCUCUACGCUGCAGCAGGACCACCGCCCUAUUUGAUACAUUGCUUCUGUCUCGG